rnacentral:lncRNA from 1 species
UUUUCCAAUCAUGAGAUAAAGAAAAACCAGUUCCUGUGAUUUGAGAACUCAUCACUGAAAAUGAUGCAGAGGUAGCUUUAGUUUGGCUAAGUGAGGUUAAUGUUGACCGUACCUUGUCUGUUUGUAUUUGCAUCUUCCUUAUUUCUAAUAGUAAAUUUUAAACAACUACAAAAAACAUUAGAAGCAUUAUGUAUUAUACUUUAAAAGUUUGUGGUCAACUGUAAUAGCAGUUA